rnacentral:rRNA from 1 species
GUGGGGAAUAUUGGACAAUGGGGGGAACCCUGAUCCAGCCAUGCCGCGUGUGUGAAGAAGGUCUUCGGAUUGUAAAGCACUUUAAGUUGGGAGGAAGGGCAGUAAGUUAAUACCUUGCUGUUUUGACGUUACCGACAGAAUAAGCACCGGCUAACUUCGUGCCAGCAGCCGCGGUAAUACGAAGGGUGCAAGCGUUAAUCGGAAUUACUGGGCGUAAAGCGCGCGUAGGUGGUUUUGUAAGUUGGAGGUGAAAUCCCCGGGCUCAACCUGGGAACUGCCUACAAAACUGCAUGACUAGAGUACGGUAGAGGGGAGUGGAAUUUCCUGUGUAGCGGUGAAAUGCGUAGAUAUAGGAAGGAACACCAGUGGCGAAGGCGACUACCUGGACUGAUACUGACACUGAGGUGCGAAAGCGUGGGGAGCAAACAGGAUUAGAAACCCGUGUAGUCC